rnacentral:rRNA from 1 species
CUCCUACGGGAGGCAGCAGUGGGGAAUUGUUCGCAAUGGGCGCAAGCCUGACGACGCAACGCCGCGUGGAGGAUGAAGGUCUUCGGAUUGUAAACUCCUGUUGCCCGGGACGAAAGGCUUCGACCUAACACGUCGGAGUGUGACGGUACCGGGUGAGGAAGCCCCGGCUAACUCUGUGCCAGCAGCCGCGGUAAUACAGAGGGGGCAAGCGUUGUUCGGAAUUACUGGGCGUAAAGGGCGCGUAGGCGGCCUUCUAAGUCGAACGUGAAAUCCCCGGGCUCAACCCGGGAACUGCGUCCGAUACUGGCAGGCUUGAAUCCGGGAGAGGGAUGCGGAAUUCCAGGUGUAGCGGUGAAAUGCGUAGAUAUCUGGAGGAACACCGGUGGCGAAGGCGGCAUCCUGGACCGGCAUUGACGCUGAGGCGCGAAAGCCAGGGGAGCAAACGGGAUUAGAUACCCCGGUAGUCCUGGCCGUAAACGAUGG